rnacentral:rRNA from 1 species
CCUAGGGGAGGCAGCAGUGAGGAAUAUUGGUCAAUGGGCGGAAGCCUGAGCCAGCCAAGUAGCGUGCAGGAUGACGGCCCUAUGGGUUGUAAACUGCUUUUAUACAGGAAUAAAGUUAGCCACGUGUGGUUAUUUGUAGGUACUGUAUGAAUAAGGACCGGCUAACUACGUGCCAGCAGCCGCGGUAAU